CUCAUGGCGCAUCAUCUCCUCCAUCGAGCAGAAGGAGGAAGGCCGAGGCAAUGAGGACCGUGUAACACUCAUCAAGGACUACCGUGGGAAGAUUGAGACUGAGCUCACCAAGAUCUGUGAUGGCAUCCUCAAGCUGCUCGAGUCCCACCUUGUCCCCUCUUCCACUGCCCCCGAGUCCAAGGUCUUCUACCUCAAGAUGAAGGGUGACUACUACAGGUAAUGUGAUGCCCAGUAAGACUUUCACAUUUGUUAUGGGAUUGUGUUUUCAUUUGACUGAUUGAAUCGUGAUGAUUAGAUACCUUGCUGAGUUCAAGACUGGGGCUGAGAGAAAGGACGCUGCUGAGAAUACCAUGGUGGCAUACAAGGCU
rnacentral:lncRNA from 1 species